GGCCUUGUAGAUACAUUCUGCAUACCACUUGUGAGUCGGACAUUAUUAAAGCUGGGCUGUUUUUCUUUUCCUUGUAUGCGAUAGCGAGAGCAAUCACCGC
rnacentral:lncRNA from 1 species